rnacentral:rRNA from 1 species
UUCUGGGACGAUUAACAGAUUGAGAGUUCUUUCUUGAUUCGGUGGAUGGAGGUGCAUGUCCGUUCUUAGUUGGUGAAGUGAUUUGUCUGGUCAAUUCCGAUAACGAACGAGACUCUAGUCUAUUAAAUAAGUGCGUGGUUCUCUGCACCUUGCACCCUCUUAGAGGGACAAGCGGCUCCUAGCCGCACGAAACAGAGCAAUAACAGGUCUGUGAUGCCCUUAGA